UAGGUUAUUGAUUAAAAAAAAUAACAUUAACAACCUAAGCUAAUAUAGGCGUGGCUAGGCUGUAACAUCUGUAUUACAUGUAUGGUCUGUCUCCUGUGUUUCAUUGUGUUCUUGGUUCAGUCCCUGUAACCUAGUUCUCCCCAGUCUGUUUAAUUAGUCGUGUCAUACACCUGUGCCCUGUUUAUCACUUAUCUCAUCUAGCUCCCUCAUUUGUUCGAGUGUAUAUAUACUCCCUGUGUCUCUCAGUUCUUUGUCCAAUCUCGUCUAGGUGUAACAUCAGUGGAUGUAUUUGCCUUUUUACUCUUGCAUUUCCCUUCUGUGAAUUUAUUAAAGACUGCAUUUUGGAAUUCUCCUAUGUUGUACACCAGCCGAUUAAUUUAUUUGAUUGGUGUGCAAUGAAUCUAAAAUAUCUGAAAGUUUAAUUUUUAUCAUUGCAUUAUGGAAAAUAAUGAACUUUUUCACAAUAUGCUAAUUUGCUGAGAAGUAUAUAUAUAUAUAUAUAUAUAUAAUUUUUUGGUCCAUGGUCUGUCUGAAUACUCGCUUCUGAUUGGCUGUCAGAUAUGCAUUAAAACCGUUUAAUGCACAGGUAGUUCCAAGUCAGUUUAAUCACUGUUCUAUAUUAAUGCGCUGCUUUAAUUGAUGCACACACACUACACCACUCAUACAUAAACACUGUGAGAGGGAGAGAGGUCGGAGAUUGCAGAUCGCACUGUGCACACACAGAAACAUAUUGCUGGCACUGCCCCGCUACUUCUAUUAAUAAAAUAGCAUAGAUACUAGAUCACUACAUUAUCUUCCUCAGCAACAAGGGAAAAUCGAAGUAACUAAACAGCUUCAUUGUUUGUAGAGAGAGACUCACAGAUGCAGUGCGGCUCUCCGCUCUCUCAGCUGGGCCUGCUUCUCCACCACGUCACGGAUCUGCUUCUCCACGGCCUCCAGCUCGAGCUACACCAAAUGCAGCUUGAGCAUCUCCUCACCUGCACUCAAUGGCAGACACACAUCUGCCAUUAAAGCAAGUAACAGGUAACAGUGAGUAAAACAAUGGUAAUGUGUGUGAGUAUUAGCAAUGUAAGCGAGAUUAGCGGUAACCACGCUGGCGAUGCUAACAGGCUAUAAGCUUUGCCAUAUUCUAAUUUGUUACUCAAACACCCAUUUCUGGUCUUGGAGUCUCAGCUAAUGAGCUGAUGAUCUGAAUCAGGUGUGCU
rnacentral:lncRNA from 1 species